CUGGCUACGUCGGCGGGACUGACUGACUCAUCAUCCCCUCUGGCUACGUCGACUGGACUGACUGAACACUUCAGACUAGGCUUACUUGAAUUCACCUUAGCUGAUCCUGUGAGAGAACAUCUGUGGAAAUGGGCCUGUAAAAGCCAGGGAGUAACCCGAAAAAGACAAAAGCCAGGCCUGUAUAUUGCAGAGACAAUACUGUAGAGAGUGAGAGGUAGGGGCAGAUCCACAAAGAAUUAAGACAAUACUGUAGAGAGUGAGAGGUAGGGGCAGAUCCACAAAGAAUUAAGACAAUACUGUAGAGAGUGAGAGGUAGGGGCAGAUCCACAAAGAAUUAAGACAAUACUGUAGAGAGUGAGAGGUAGGGGCAGAUCCACAAAGAAUUAAGACAAUACUGUAGAGAGUGAGAGGUAGGGGCAGAUCCACAAAGAAUUAAGACAAUACUGUAGAGAGUGAGAGGUAGGGGCAGAUCCACAAAGAAUUAAGACAAUACUGUAGAGAGUGAGAGGUAGGGGCAGAUCCACAAAGAAUUAAGACAAUACUGUAGAGAGUGAGAGGUAGGGGCAGAUCCACAAAGAAUUAAGACAAUACUGUAGAGAGUGAGAGGUAGGGGCAGAUCCACAAAGAAUUAAGACAAUACUGUAGAGAGUGAGAGGUAGGGGCAGAUCCACAAAUAAUUAAGACUAUACUGUAGAGAGUGAGAGGUAGGGGCAGAUCCACACAGAAUUAAGACAAUACUUUUUUCAGCCAUAGAACUCUAUAUUGGAUCGGAGAUGGAGGUUUUAGGUGUAGAAUAUUGCAUUCGGUUUGCCUAACUAUGACCCAGACUAAACUAUAUGCCUGGGUUAACCUUGGGGAUGUGUCAGCGGAAUCAACAGAUGUCAGAUUGUAAUGGGCCACAAUCCAGUCAUUUAAAAUGUCAAACCAGGCCACAAGACCCAUUGGAAAUAGGAUAAUAUGUUCUACAUGCUCUCCUCUCAUGCACUUAGCCAUUUUCUCAGUAUCUGCUAUAUCUAAUGGAUAUUCAUGUGCAUUUUAUUGAUGAACUGGAAACAACCUUUUGAAUUUAUUUUAUUUUUACAGGGACAGUGCACAUUAAUCAACGUUUCAGUAAAAGUGUCGGUUUUAGCCAGCCGGCUAAUUUUCAACCGCAGUCCCUGGGCAGGUUAUUAAAAACAAUUACAAUAUAGACAAUCAUUGAGCAGUGAGCACAUGCAGAGCAACAUAGGACAAGCAAGACGUAGCAUACAAACAGAGCAACAUAGAACAAAAAGCAACAAGACAAAAUCCAUAAAAGAAACAGUGUUUCCACACCUCACAAGCUACAGACAACAUGGAAAGCGGCAACACACAGCUAGGGACCAUGUUCACAAAUCUGAUUGGUCUUUAGCCAUGUCUUCAUGUUUUUUGUGAAAGUGUGAUAGGUGGUGCAGUUAUGUGUGUCUGAUGGCAGUGUAUUCCAGACAUGGGAAGCUCUCACAGAGAAAGUGGAUUUACUAAAGGUGCUUUUCCUUAAGGGAACUAUACAGUCAACUCUCAUGGCAGACCUUGUGGAUCUGCUGCCAUAUGUUUGGGUUUUCUGUUUAACAAAAAUCAAAUCAAAUUUUAUUUGUCACAUACACAUGGUUAGCAGAUGUUAAUGCGAGUGUAGCGAAAUGCUUGUGCUUCUAGUUCUGACAAUGCAGUAAUAACCAACAAGUAAUCUAACAAUUCCUAAACUACUGUCUUAUACACAGUGUAAGGGGAUAAAGAAUAUGUACAUAAGGAUAUAUGAAUGAGUGAUGGCACAGAGCAGCAUAGGCAAGAUACAGUAGAUGGUAUCGAAUACAGUAUAUACAUAUGAGAUGAGUAUGUAAACAAAGUGGCAUAGUUAAAGUGGCUAGUGAUACAUGUAUUACAUAAGGAUGCAGUCGAUGAUAUAGAGUACAGUAUAUGCGUAUGAGAUGAAUAAUGUAGGGUAAGUAACAUUAUAUAAGGUAGCAUUGUUUAAAGUGGCUAGUGAUAUAUUUACAUCAUUCCCAUCAAUUCCCAUUAUUAAAGUGGCUGGAGUUGUGUCAGUGUGUUGGCAGCGGCCACUCAAUGUUAGUGGUGGCUGUUUAACAGUCUGAUGGCCUUGAGAUAGAAGCUGUUUUUCAGUCUGUCGGUUCCAGCUUUGAUGCACCUGCACUGACCUCGCCUUCUGGAUGAUAGCGGGGUGAACAGGCAGUGGCUCGGGUGGUUGAUGUCCUUGAUGAUCUUUAUGGCCUUCCCGUAACAUCGGGUGGUGUAGGUGUCCUGGAGGGCAGGUAGUUUGUCCCCGGUGAUGCGUUGUGCAGACCUCACUACCCUCUGGAGAGCCUUACGGUUGUGGGCAGAGCAGUUGCCGUACCAGGCGGUGAUACAGCCCGCCAGGAUGCUCUCGAUUGUGCAUCUGUAGAAGUUUGAGUGCUUUUGGUGACAAGCUGAAUUUCUUCAGCCUCCUGAGGUUGAAGAGGCGCUGCUGCGCCUUCUUCACGAUGCUGUCUGUGUGAGUGGACCAAUUCAGUUUGUCUGUGAUGUGUAUGCCGAGGAACUUAAAACUUGCUACCCUCUCCACUACUGUUCCAUCGAUGUGGAUAGGGGGGUGUUCCCUCUGCUGUUUCCUGAAGUCCACAAUCAUCUCCUUAGUUUUGUUGAGUGUGAGGUUAUUUUCCUGACACCACACUCCGAGGGCCCUCACCUCCUCCCUGUAGGCCGUCUCGUCGUUGUUGGUAAUCAAGCCUACCACUGUUGUCGUCCGCAAACUUGA